rnacentral:misc_RNA from 1 species
UACGUAAAAAACAAGCGUUGUCCGGAAUUAUUGGGCGUAAAGCGCGCGUAGGCGGUUCCUUAAGUCUGAUGUGAAAUCUUGCGGCUCAACCGCAAGCGGUCAUUGGAAACUGGGGAACUUGAGUACAGAAGAGGAGAGCGGAAUUCCACGUGUAGCGGUGAAAUGCGUAGAUAUGUGGAGGAACACCAGUGGCGAAGGCGGCUCUCUGGUCUGUAACUGACGCUGAGGUGCGAAAGCGUGGGGAGCGAACAGG